GACGAACGCUGGCGGCGUGCUUAACACAUGCAAGUCGAACGGAAAGGCCCUGCUUUUGUGGGGUGCUCGAGUGGCGAACGGGUGAGUCACACGUGAGUAACCUGCCCUUGCCUUUGGGCUUACUUCAGGAAACUGGGGCUCCUACCGGAUAGGAGCUCCUGCUGCAUGGUGGGGGUUGGAAAGUUUCGGCGGUUGGGGAUGGACUCGCGGCUUAUUAGCUUGUUGGUGGGGUAGUGGCUUACCAAGGCUUUGACGGUUAGCCGGCCGGAGAGGGUGACCGGCCAAAUGGGGACGGGGAAACGGCCCGGACUCCAACGGGAGGAGGCAGUGGGGAAAAUUGCACAAUGGGCGGAAGCCGGAGGCAGCAACGCCGCGGGGGGGAGGACGGCCUUCGGGUUGUAAACCGCUUUCGCCGGUGACGAAGCGGGAGUGACGGUAAUGGGUAAAGAAGCACCGGCUAACUACGUG
rnacentral:rRNA from 1 species